ensembl:lncRNA
AGGGAGAGAGAGAAAGAGGGAGAGGGAGGGAGAGGGAGAGGGAGGGAGAGAGAUGUGGAAGAGAGGGAUGAGGGAGGGAGAGAGGGUUGGGAAAGAAAGAAAGACGGACGGUCAGAUGCAAGGAGAGAAAGCAGCCUCUUCUCCGUGACGGAGAAAUAGAGCCGUCGUCAGGGGGUGUCUGAAAAUUUCAAGCUUGGUUAAGCUGUAAAGCUGUGUGGAAAACAAUCCUCCCUGCUUCUCCUCUGUUUAAUGAGCUGUUCCUGUCACAUUAAAGAGAACGGAUUGUGUGUCCCUUUCUCUAGAACAGAGGGAAGAAAAGAAAAGGAACGAGGUGGUGAGGGGUCGAACAAACCUCAAGAAUGUGACGGCGUACACUCGUGACACCGGCGGGGGCUAGACUCAGUCACACACAAUGAUUAAACCAAUCACCUGUCAGCGGAAGCAUCACUUCACGUUAAAGGUCAAGGUAAGGGGUUCAGUAUUUAGCAGACGCUUUUAUCCAAAGAGUCAAGAUAAGGGUUCAGUAUUUAGCAGACGCUUUUAUCCAAAGAGUCAAGAUAAGGGUUCAGUAUUUAGCAGACGCUUUUAUCUAAAGAGACAAGAUAAGGGUUCAGUAUUUAGCAGACGCUUUUAUCCAAAGAGUCAAGAUAAGGGUUCAGUAUUUAGCAGACGCUUUUAUCCAAAGAGACAUAUACAUCGGUAUCCUGCAGUGGCCCGGAAAAGCAUCCGGGUCGACCAUUUACAGGACGGUGACGCUAAGCACUGACCCAUCAACACCACAGAAUGGACCCCUGUGACCCCGUGACCCCACCGAGAGACAGGGGGAGGCAGCACAGAGCCACACCAGG